rnacentral:rRNA from 1 species
UACGUAGGGUGCAAGCGUUAAUCGGAAUUACUGGGCGUAAAGCGUGCGCAGGCGGUUGUGCAAGACGGAUGUGAAAUCCCCGGGCUUAACCUGGGAAUUGCAUUCGUGACUGCACGGCUAGAGUGUGUCAGAGGGGGGUAGAAUUCCACGUGUAGCAGUGAAAUGCGUAGAUAUGUGGAGGAACACCGAUGGCGAAGGCAGCCCCCUGGGAUAACACUGACGCUCAUGCACGAAAGCGUGGGGAGCAAACAGG